UUCCAGCCGCGGUGGCUCAGUCGUCUAAGGCAACUGGAAUUCCCUACGAAAUCAGUGCGCGAGUUCGAGUUCGAGUCUCCGCCCAUGCUUGUUGGCUUCUUCCGACGAUCACCCACGUUAUUUAGCCGUUAACUCCUUGGGCUACAUUAAUUUUUUUUGUC
ensembl:snoRNA snoRNA:gcl-a